GCGAAAGACUAAUCGAACCAUCUAGUAGCUGGUUCCUCCCGAAAUUUCCCUCAGGAUAGCUGCAACCAAAUAGUUUUAUCAGGUAAAGCGAAUGAUUAGAGGCCUCGGGGGUGGAACGCCCUCGACCUAUUCUCAAACUUUAAAUGGGUAAGAACCUCUUGUUUCCUUAAUUUGAACUCGAUGGUCGAAUAAUGGUUGCUAGUGGGCCAAUCUGGGUAAGCUAGAUUGGCGAUGCGGGAUGAACCGAACGUCGAGAUAAAGUGCCAAAGUAUCCGCUCACCUAGAUCCCACAAAAGGUGUUGGU
rnacentral:rRNA from 1 species